rnacentral:rRNA from 1 species
UAUGGAGAGUUUGAUCCUGGCUCAGGAUGAACGCUGGCGGUCUGCUUAACACAUGCAAGUCGAACGGUCUUUUCGGAGACAGUGGCGGACGGGUGAGUAAAGCGUGAGAAUCUGCCUCCAGGUCGGGGACAACAGUGGGAAACCGCUGCUAAUCCCGGAUGAGCCUAAGGGUAAAAGAUUUAUUGCCUGGAGAGGAGCUCGCGUCCGAUUAGCUAGUUGGUGAGGUAAGAGCUCACCAAGGCGACGAUCGGUAGCUGGUCUGAGAGGACGAUCAGCCACACUGGGACUGAGACACGGCCCAGACUCCUACGGGAGGCAGCAGUGGGGAAUUUUCCGCAAUGGGCGAAAGCCUGACGGAGCAAGACCGCGUGCGGGAGGAAGGCUUUUGGGUCGUAAACCGCUUUUCUUAGGGAAGAAGCUCUGACGGUACCUAAGGAAUCAGCCUCGGCUAACUCCGUGCCAGCAGCCGCGGUAAUACGGAGGAGGCAAGCGUUAUCCGGAAUUAUUGGGCGUAAAGCGUCCGCAGGCGGCUUAACAAGUCUGCUGUCAAAGACUGGAGCUCAACUCCAGGUCGGCAGUGGAAACUGUCAAGCUAGAGUGCAGUAGGGGUAGAGGGAAUUCCCAGUGUAGCGGUGAAAUGCGUAGAGAUUGGGAAGAACACCGGUGGCGAAAGCGCUCUACUGGGCUGCAACUGACGCUGAGGGACGAAAGCUAGGGGAGCGAAAGGGAUUAGAUACCCCUGUAGUCCUAGCCGUAAACGAUGGAGACUAGGCGUGGCUUGUAUCGACCCAAGCCGUGCCGAAGCCAACGCGUUAAGUCUCCCGCCUGGGGAGUACGCACGCAAGUGUGAAACUCAAAGGAAUUGACGGGGGCCCGCACAAGCGGUGGAGUAUGUGGUUUAAUUCGAUGCAACGCGAAGAACCUUACCAAGGCUUGACAUCCCGCGAAUCCUGGUGAGAGCCGGGAGUGCCUUCGGGAGCGCGGAGACAGGUGGUGCAUGGCUGUCGUCAGCUCGUGUCGUGAGAUGUUGGGUUAAGUCCCGCAACGAGCGCAACCCUUGUCCUUAGUUGCCAGCAUUCAGUUGGGCACUCUAGGGAGACUGCCGGUGACAAACCGGAGGAAGGUAGGGAUGACGUCAAGUCAUCAUGCCCCUUACGUCUUGGGCUACACACGUACUACAAUGGUUGGGACAACGGGCAGCGAAGCGGCGACGCCGAGCGAAUCCCAGCAAACCCAGCCUCAGUUCAGAUCGCAGGCUGCAACUCGCCUGCGUGAAGGAGGAAUCGCUAGUAAUCGCAGGUCAGCAUACUGCGGUGAAUCCGUUCCCGGGCCUUGUACACACCGCCCGUCACACCAUGGAAGUUGGCCAUGCCCGAAGUCGUUACCCUAACCUUAGGGAGGGGGACGCCGAAGGCAGGGCUGAUGACUGGGGUGAAGUCGUAACAAGGUAGCCGUACCGGAAGGUGUGGCUGGAUCACCUCCUUAAAGGG